CAGCGCCCGCCUGCUGCCGGGGCCGGGCCGGGCUGGGCGCUGGGCACCUCGGCGGCGGGGCGGGGCCGAGGGCUGCAGUCCGCCCCCAGGACGGGAGCGGGCGGGGUGCCCGCCGGCCGCCACUUCGCAGCCCGAAGCUGACUCCGCUUGUGCCAAGGCCGCUCCUUCGCUCCCACUCGGCCCGCCUGGCCCUGCGGACGUGGGCCCGCCGGCGGGCUCUGUCCGGCCGGGCCCGGGUGCCACAUCCCGCCGCAGAGGGCCGGCUGCCCGCGCGGUCCAGCGCACAGCGGCCCGUGGGGCUCCCCACGCAUCCAGAAAUUUGGCGGCAAGGGAGCGGCAAUUAACGCUGCCACUGCUCCCCCACCUCCAAACGGCCAGGCCCAUGGGGAGCCCCUGGGCUGGGUGACACCGCUCUGCGACCUGGCACCAGCUUGCUGGUUUCUUCUAGUCUUCUGGAAGAAAAGUUCUCCACACCCCGACGAUCUCAGUUGCCCUGACGUGUGCCCUACGAGCGUGAGGUGGGGUCACCCGUGUCAGCGAGAUGGAGAGCGAGGUUUCCGGACUCCCAAAAACUCAAAAAUAAAAAGACAAGUCCUCGGCAGCGGCGCAGGGGGCUGAAGAAAGAACACUUCACAACAACUUCAAGGGCAGAUGAAAACUAUAGCUGAACAGAAACCUCCAGUUAUCUAGGUUUUCCUUGCCAAGACAUGAAGGUUUCCUUCCCACACAGUAUCAUGGGGUUGCUGACAGGGGUGUAGGUUGUAGCCGCGUUGGCCUGAGGACAUAGGCAGACAAGGUUCUUUGGGUGAUGCAAAGAUGGGGUUGCUGAUAUCAGCACAGUGCUUUGUCAGGCCUGGCCUCUCUUGGUCUGCUAUCUGGUUCCCUGUAAACCAGUGCAGCCUGUUCCACGGUCAGGUUGCUGGUGACUAAACCGGUGCCACUACCUGGGCUAGCCUGAGUGAGAAGGGCGUGUGGACUAAAAACGAGACCUGUCAAAGGGCAGAUGAGCUCCCUGCCAGCCAGCAACCAUCCAUACCUGGAGAGGAGAGGGGCACUGCCAUGCCACUGUCCAAAGAAUCACCAAUGAUACAAAGCAACUCACCUAACCUAGGAGGGUUGUUACAGCAUCUAAGGUGCCCCAACAGUCAGAGCAGCCUCCGGACUGACUUGACUUGAUGUACAGUAGCACCCACUGCAUUAAAGAAGACACAUGCAGGUGUCUUUCUUGUAAUAGCAUGCCCUAUUUUAAUGGAUGAAUGGCGAUGGGGCCAGGUGUUAGAUACUGGAACCCCCUAGUCAUAGACCUACAUGGAGGUGAUGAUUGUAUGAUGGUGGUUUUGUACUGAGAUCAGUAACUUAUCAAGAGGCCUUAAGAGUCAUUAAGCACAUGAAGAACAAAGCAUGUGGUCCUGAUAGAAUCCCAGAGGAAAUUUAUAAGGUGGAAAAAAUGAUCUCUUACCAACUGCACUUCAUUAUUAUGAACAUUUGAAAACAUGGAUUCCCAGUGACUUGAGAAAUGCCAGAAUCAUUGCCAUAUUCAAGAAAGGAGAUAGAGCUGUUUGCAGCAGUUAUUGUGGCAUUGUACUCCUUGCCUGCAUUCUCCUGAAUAGACUCACUUUCCUCACUGAGGAGAGUCUACCCGAGUCCCAGUGUGGUUUCAGACCACUCAGAGGUACAAAAGAGAUGAUUUUUGUUGCUAGACAAUUGCAGGAACAGCACUGCAAGCAACACUGAAAUUUUUAGAUAGCCCUUAUUGACCUGACUAAGGCCUUUGAUUCAAUCAACAGAGAGGCCUUGUGGGAGAUCCUGGUGAGAUUUGGAUGCCUACGAAAAUUUGUUACCAUUAUCAAAAUCAUUUAUGAUGACAUGACAGCAACCAUCCUAAGCAAUGGCUCCUCUAGAGUGCUUUGGGGCAACGACUGUACCUGUGUUUGGAUAGUGGUUGCUCUUGGGCUGGAACUACUAAACACAAUAGCAGGAAUAAUAUCUAAUUGGAUUUAGGGUGUGAAUCAGCUGUUCUAAGUUCUUUUCUAUAUGUGGGCAUUGUCAUCAGUGAGAUCUUAUGGAUAGGUACAGACAGCUUUGAAAUCCUAUUGGCGCUCCUGGGUGUGCACAGCUGUAACCUGUGAGAGUGGACCAGUCUCUUUUGCUGAUGGAACAGCUAUUCACACUCCUUCCCCUGCCUCUGCAUGAGUAAAGAGCAGCAACAUCGUAUUUCUCUGCAGUGCUAACCCUAUCGAUGGCAAAGAGGUGCUGAGGAAAGAGCUGGAUUCUCUGCACAAAUCCCCUGGUGCCUGGAUCUGGUGAAACUUGAGACAAUGUUUCCUGCCUAGGCAGUGAAAUGGAGGAGCUAACAGGGCUUAGCCCCACCAAACGCAGGGCAGCAGAUAGGGCUGCAACACAGCCUGGCUGCAGGCUCCGGGCAGCUACAGCAGGGGUGGGAAGGGGCACACACUCAGUGGUAAGGGAGGGAGUGGGGCAGGGGCAGGGACAGGACAGAACCACAAGUGGCAUGUCCAAGGGGUGCGGCUCCUGCUGCUAUGCACACCAUGGAAGGGCAUUGGGGGCAUGUGCCUCAGAUCUGCAUGCAUGAUGAGGGCAGCCUGCGCUGUGCUCGGGGCAGAUGGUGGCAGCACUGGGAGGGAGGUUUCGGGGGGCUGGGGGGGCAGCAACCACCCCAAAAUUUGCCAUAGCCCCCCAAACCCCUCUCCCAGUGCCACCACCGCCCGCCUCAAGUGCAGUGCGGCCCACCACCCCCCCCGGGAAGAGCCCCAGUCUGCAACGGCAACCUGCUUCCCCACACCAGGAGCUGCCACCCCCCUUCCCAUGCUGGGCACCCCCCAGACAAGCCACUCACAACUCCUCUGUCCAGCGCACCUGCCCCAACUGUGCAGGACUUGCCCCUGUCCCAGCCCCACUCCCUCCCUCACCACUGUGCAGGGGUGCAGAUCGAGGCCCCAGUGAAGAGGGAGGGAGCAGGGCGAAGGCAGGAGCAGGGACUGGGGAGAGUGGGGCCCUGGCUGGGCUGGGUGGUGGGACAGCUGGAGGUCCAGGGGACAUGUGUCCCCUGAUCAGUGCAUGAGACAGAGGCAGCUGUCACUGUGCGCUGAGCUUUGAGCUCCGCUGACCUAAGAGCCACACAAUGCCAUGUGCAUCCCACCACCAGGUGGGCAGGAGUGCGGUGCAGCCCAGUGGCGGUAGGCACAUGAUGUUGGCCACUCCCAGAGCAGCUGCAGCAGGGAGCAAAGCACAGUGCACAGCAGCAGCCACCUCCACCCCAAGAACAGAUGGGGGGGGGCAUGUGGCCCCCAGGCCUCCACUUGUGCCACCAGCUGGCCUGGCCAGGGCCCCACUCACCUCAUCCCCUGCCUGUGCCUGGCUCCCUCUCUCACUGGGACCUCAAUUUGUCCCCCCCUGCCCCCCAUGACCUUUUCCCCUCCCCUGCCCUUUCCCCUACAGGCUUACUGCUGGGGGGGGUGGUACAUGCACACUCAGCCCCCCCCCCCCCAAAUAAUUUUUUCUCCCUCUGCCUAUGCCUGGGAGGUUUCUGAAUCCUGGUGAGAAUGGUUCACUUUUCACCUUUUGUCCAAAGGGAAGGAGAGGGCAAGAUGGAGGCAGAAGCUAGAAUGUGCAGCUGGAACAAGGGGUUGGAGGGGUGAGAGGGCUUGAACAGCUGCAAGAGUAUCUCAGGUCCACCAGCAUUUGCCAGAUGGGAGUCAGUCCUGCCCUCAAAGCUCCUUUCCUGCCCGUGUUGCCUGGCUCUGAUAAAGCAUGAUUCAUAGAAGUUAGGGGCUGGAAGGGACUUCAGAGAUCAUCAGGUCCAGCCCCCUGCACUAAGGCAGGAAAGACUACUGAGGUCAGAUGACCCCAGCAAGUUGUGCAUCCAGUUGUCUUUUGAAGAUUUCCAAGGAAGGAGACUGUAUCACCUCUGGGGGGAGUCUGUUCCAAACUCUGAACACAUGUACCAUAAAGAAGUUUUUCCUAAUGUGUAAUCUGAA